UACAGGAUAAGAUCUCUGAGUAGGUAUAGAAAAAAAAAUUAGGUACAGAAAAAAUUAGAACCGCUUUUGCUUUCACAGAAACAAAAAUAAAAGGAUAUAAAAUUGAUUUAAAUUCCCAUAUCCUUAUGCAAGUUUUUCUGAAACCUUGCUCAGGCACAGUCCCAGGGAAGUUAGUCCAAAGUAACUGUAUAGAAAGAUUCAAGACACUACAUACUGGCAAGUCUACUGACUCAGCCACUUCCACUGAAUUUUAAAACACAGAAAACUUUCCAUACUUCCCAAAAGCAGAAGGGCUAAGAAACCUUUCUCUUCUCAUGCUAAACCGCUCAACGGUUCAGUUUUCUUGAACAUGAUAAAAAUUUAUAUGUGCUGUAGUUCAGUAUUUGUUUUAAAAACUGAGGGACAAAUGGCAGAAAUACCAUGAAAAAUCUAGAUCCUGCAAAAAAUGCUGUUACUGAGAAGAGGCUUGUGUUUUGUGAAGGCUUCUCCCUGCAGUGAAGAAAUUGAGGACUGUACAGGCCAAAUUCCAGAAAAUGCAAUGCAGGAGAUUUGAGAGAUGUCUGACAUUACAGUGAAUGAGGGCAUGCAUGAUUUCCAUUACAGUAAGCAAGUGCUGCUUUGUAGGUAUCUUCCUGCAAAAGUUAUGAGGUAAAACGGAUAUAUGAAGUUUGUGUUUCACAGACAGGCUUCUGUGUCUGCUUGGCAUCGGCUGGGGGAUAGUAGAGCGAUGAGUUAAUAUUCUGAGUUUAGGUGGAACACAGUCAGGGCUCAUUAAGUUUCCAGCCAUUCCUGAACAGCAACAGGUGCUCGAGAAAUGUUUCUCCAGUAUGUCACAGACAGCUUCUUCACUGUCUUGGAAAUAACUGACUGCGCUUGUGUUUCCUCCAUGGCACCAACUGACAAAGGAGGAGAGAACGAAAAGGAACAGGAAGAGCUCCCAAAACAUCCGCAUGUGCAUAGGGAAUGGGUCCAGAAAAGUGAUUCUGGAAGCUGCCCUUCUGAGCCAUUCUUAUUGCCAACAAAUAAUUUUCCCAGAGCAACCACUGAGAUGGAGACUUUUUUAUUUACUGGUUAUAUACAUGGACAUGUGGUCUGCAUGAACAUGGAAACCCCAAAGACCAGCCACAGCUCCAGUUGCUUUUGGCAAGUGUCCCUGGGAUGAGUGCCUCAGGCAAGUGCCCCACUGACCUCCAACUGAGCUACCCCUUUGCUCACUAUUAAAGCAAACAGAAUAGGGAUUUCUGCCAAAGGCCCUUAUAAAAACAGUUUAAUCGCACAAGACUCUUCUCCUUCAUGAUCUUCACUACUCAGUCUAGCAUUUAUUCUUGCAGAAAAUGAACAACCUCCACGGGAACUAUAUUUUAAGCUGUUACAACACACAAAAUCUAAUACGCAUAUUCAGUUUUUUCCCAUAAUUCACUAGUAACACAAAAGGAUUAUUAUGCUUUUAUACUGUGGCAAUUCACAGGUCCCUUGAGAAAAUCACUGCAAAUGUUACAUUCCAUGAGAUAAAUCCUGAAUCCUACCACAGUGGACAAGAGUUUAGUCUCUGACUUAUCUUACUUGUUAUGGGGAAAAAUCCUACAAACUUUCUCCUUGAGACAUACACAGGCCCAUGCUGGAAUGCAAUGAAAAAGUUUCAAGGAGAUUUUGUUUUCUGAAAGGACUGUCUUUGACACAAAAGAAAAGUAGCCUUUCUGAUGUGUGCUCACUGAGGAUAUGUGAAUCUGCUUACUCUGUGCAGAAUCACACAGUUGCAGCUCAAACUGUGCAAGUGUCUGCAGCUCCCAAUCUAAUCACUUAUGCUAGAACUAAACCAACUAUGUGUCUUUUGUAUCAACUUACCUAAAGAUUCCAGACAAACUGUAAGCCAGGGACUAAACCAGGUGUUGUGUCAGGGACCGCUGCUAACACUGACUGGAAUAUUAUUAAAACAUUUUGACUUCUCAGUGGAAAUCACUGCA